GAUGAACGCUGGCGGCGUGCCUAAUACAUGCAAGUCGAGCGAACAGACGAGGAGCUUGCUCCUCUGACGUUAGCGGCGGACGGGUGAGUAACACGUGGAUAACCUACCUAUAAGACUGGGAUAACUUCGGGAAACCGGAGCUAAUACCGGAUAAUAUAUUGAACCGCAUGGUUCAAUAGUGAAAGACGGUUUUGCUGUCACUUAUAGAUGGAUCCGCGCCGCAUUAGCUAGUUGGUAAGGUAACGGCUUACCAAGGCAACGAUGCGUAGCCGACCUGAGAGGGUGAUCGGCCACACUGGAACUGAGACACGGUCCAGACUCCUACGGGAGGCAGCAGUAGGGAAUCUUCCGCAAUGGGCGAAAGCCUGACGGAGCAACGCCGCGUGAGUGAUGAAGGUCUUCGGAUCGUAAACCUCUGUUAUUAGGGAAGAACAAAUGUGUAAGUAACUAUGCAAGUCUUGACGGUACCUAAUCAGAAAGCCACGGCUAACUACGU
rnacentral:rRNA from 1 species